GACGAAGGAUGCAAGCGUUAUCCGGAUUCAUUGGGUUUAAAGGGAGCGUAGGCGGACUUAUAAGUCAGUGGUGAAAUCUCUGGGCUUAACCCAGAAACUGCCAUUGAUACUGUAGGUCUUGAGUACAGUUGCCGUUGGCGGAAUAUGACAUGUAGUGGUGAAAUACUUAGAUAUGUCAUAGAACACCGAUUGCGAAGGCAGCUAACGAAGCUGUAACUGACGCUGAGGCUCGAAAGUGCGGGGAUCAAACAGG
rnacentral:rRNA from 1 species